rnacentral:rRNA from 1 species
GGAGGUCCGAACCCACGAGCGUUGAAAAGCUCGGGGAUGACUUGUGGGUAGCGGUGAAAUUCCAAUCGAGCCCGGAGAUAGCUGGUUCUCCCCGAAAUAGCUUUAGGGCUAGCCUCAAGGUGAGAGAUACGGAGGUAGAGCACUGAAUGUCCUAGGGGGUAUUGCACCUACCGAAGACUAUCAAACUCCGAAUGCCGUCAUCUUAUACUUGGGAGUCAGACUGUGGGUGAUAAGAUUCAUAGUCGAAAGGGCAACAGCCCAGAUCGUCAGCUAAGGUCCCUAAAUGUAAGUUAAGUGGUAAAGGAUGUGGGAUUGCACAGACAACCAGGAUGUUGGCUUAGAAGCAGCCACUCAUUCAAAGAGUGCGUAAUAGCUCACUGGUCGAGUGAUCCUGCGCCGAAGAUUUCCGGGGCUAAAACUUACUACCGAAGCUACGGCAUCAGUAAUGAUGGGUAGGGGAGCUUCCCAUACGGGUUGAAGCAUGACCGUAAGGACAUGUGGACAGUAUGGGAGUGAGAAUGUUGGCAUGAGUAGCGAGAUGUGGGUGAGAAUCCCACAGGCCGUAAACCCAAGGUUUCCAGGGGAAGGUUCGUCCGCCCUGGGUUAGUCGGGACCUAAGCUGAGGCCGAAAGGCGUAGGUGAUGGACAACAGGUUGAUAUUCCUGUACUACCGAUAACCGUUUGAGAGAAGGGAUGACACAGUAGGAUAAGCUAAGCACACUGUUGGUUAUGUGUGCCCAAGCAUUGAGGCAGUCAAAGUAGGCAAAUCCGCUUUGAUAAUGCUGGGAUGUGAUGGGGAGCGAAAUUUAGUAGCGAAGUAGCUGAUUUCACACUGUCAAGAAAAGUCUCGAUCGAGGUUAAAGGUACCCGUACCGCAAACCGACACAGGUGGGUGAGGAGAGUAUCCUAAGGCCAGCGAGAGAACUGUUGUUAAGGAACUGGGGAAACUGAACCCGUAACUUAGGGAUAAGGGGUGCC